UGCCUAGGUGUUUUGUACAAGGUUCUGG
rnacentral:piRNA from 1 species